CAAUAGCGUAUAUUAAAGUUGUUGCAGUUAAAAGGCUCGUAGUUGGAUUUGUGGCAGUCGCGUGCGGCCCGGCAUUCGUGCCGGUGCUUGCUAGCGUCGCCAUCCUUGGGUGGAACCUGUGUGGCAUUAGGUUGUCGUGCAGGGGAUGCCCAUCGUUUACUGUGAAAAAUUAGAGUGUUCAAAGCAGGCUUAUGCCGUUGAAUAUAUUAGCAUGGAAUAAUAAGAUAGGACCUUGGUACUAUUUUGUUGGUUUGCGCACCAAGGUAAUGAUUAAUAGGGACAGUUGGGGGUAUUCGUAUUCCAUUGUCAGAGGUGAAAUUAUUGGAUUUUUGGAAGACGAACUACUGCGAAAGCAUUUACCAAGGAUGUUUUCAUUAAUCAAGAACGAAAGUUAGGGGAUCGAAGACGAUUAGAUACCAU
rnacentral:rRNA from 1 species